AUUGAACGCUGGCGGCAGGCCUAACACAUGCAAGUCGAGCGGAUGAAGGGAGCUUGCUCCUGGAUUCAGCGGCGGACGGGUGAGUAAUGCCUAGGAAUCUGCCUGGUAGUGGGGGACAACGUUUCGAAAGGAACGCUAAUACCGCAUACGUCCUACGGGAGAAAGCAGGGGACCUUCGGGCCUUGCGCUAUCAGAUGAGCCUAGGUCGGAUUAGCUAGUUGGUGAGGUAAUGGCUCACCAAGGCGACGAUCCGUAACUGGUCUGAGAGGAUGAUCAGUCACACUGGAACUGAGACACGGUCCAGACUCCUACGGGAGGCAGCAGUGGGGAAUAUUGGACAAUGGGCGAAAGCCUGAUCCAGCCAUGCCGCGUGUGUGAAGAAGGUCUUCGGAUUGUAAAGCACUUUAAGUUGGGAGGAAGGGUUGUAGAUUAAUACUCUGCAAUUUUGACGUUACCGACAGAAUAAGCACCGGCUAACUCUGUGCCAGCCGCCGCCGUAA
rnacentral:rRNA from 1 species